rnacentral:rRNA from 1 species
GAUGAACGCUGGCGGCGUGCCUAACACAUGCAAGUCGAGCGAAGCACUUACUUUAGAUUUCUUCGGAAUGACGAAGUUUGUGACUGAGCGGCGGACGGGUGAGUAACGCGUGGGCAACCUGCCCUGUACAGGGGGAUAACAGUUAGAAAUGACUGCUAAUACCGCAUAAGCCCACAGCUUCGCAUGAAGCAGUGGGAAAAACUCCGGUGGUACAGGAUGGGCCCGCGUCUGAUUAGCUAGUUGGUAAGGUAACGGCUUACCAAGGCGACGAUCAGUAGCCGACCUGAGAGGGUGACCGGCCACAUUGGGACUGGGACACGGCCCAAACUCCUACGGGAGGCAGCAGUGGGGAAUAUUGCACAAUGGGGGAAACCCUGAUGCAGCGACGCCGCGUGAGCGAUGAAGUAUUUCGGUAUGUAAAGCUCUAUCAGCAGGGAAGAAAGUGACGGUACCUGACUAAGAAGCCCCGGCUAACUACGUG